GAUUCUGGCUCAGGAUGAACGCUAGCUACAGGCUAACACAUGCAAGUCGAGGGGCAGCAGGAUCUGUGCUUGCACAGGUUGCUGGCGACCGGCGCACGGGUGAGUAACGCGUAUCCAACUCCCCCACAGUAGAGGAUAGCCCGGCGAAAGUCGGAUUAAUACUCUAUGUUGUAUUUCGAGGACAUCUGACGAAUACCAAAGGUUUACCGCUAUGGGAUGGGGAUGCGUCUGAUUAGGUAGUCGGCGGGGUAACGGCCCACCGAGCCAUCGAUCAGUAGGGGUUCUGAGAGGAAGGUCCCCCACAUUGGUACUGAGACACGGACCAAACUCCUACGGGAGGCAGCAGUGAGGAAUAUUGGUCAAUGGGCGCGAGCCUGAACCAGCCAAGUAAGCGUGCAGGAGGACUGCCCUAUGGGUUGUAAACUGCUUUUAUACGGGGAUAAAGUUCACCACGUGUGGUGUUUUGUAGGUACCGUAUGAAUAAGGACCGGCUAAUUCCGUGCCAGCCGCCGC
rnacentral:rRNA from 1 species